rnacentral:rRNA from 1 species
AACGAACGCUGGCGGCAUGCCUAACACAUGCAAGUCGAACGAGACCUUCGGGUCUAGUGGCGGACGGGUGAGUAACGCGUGGGAACCUGCCCAUCAGUACGGAAUAACCUCGGGAAACUG